CUUGCUGCAUGCUUAAUACAUGCAAGUCGAACGAAGGCCCUAGCUUGCUAGGUGUCCUUAGUGGCGCACGGGUGAGUAACACGUGGGAACUUACCUCAGAGUACGGAAUAACUAUGGGAAACUAUAGCUAAUACCGUAUAUUCCGGAAACGGGAAAGAUUUAUCGCUCUGAGAUAGGCCCGCGCAAGAUUAGCUUGUUGGUGAGGUAAUGGCUCACCAAGGCUCCGAUCUUUAGCUGGUUUGAGAGGAUGAUCAGCCACACUGGGACUGAGACACGGCCCAGACUCCUACGGGAGGCAGCAGUAGGGAAUAUUGGACAAUGGGGGAAACCCUGAUCCAGCAAUGCAGCGUGAGUGACGAAGGCCUUAGGGUUGUAAAACUCUUUCAUCUGUGAGGAUAAUGACAGUAGCAGAAUAAGAAGGACCGGCUAAUUCCGUGCCAGCAGCCGCGGUAAUACGGAAGGUCCUAGCGUUGUUCGGAAUUACUGGGCGUAAAGAGUAUGUAGGCGGAACAGAAAGUUAGAAGUGAAAUCCCUGGGCUCAACCUAGGAAUUGCUUUUAAAACUUCUGUUCUUGAAUUCAGGAGAGGAUAGUGGAAUUUCCAGUGUAGAGGUGAAAUUCGUAGAUAUUGGAAGGAACACCAGUGGCGAAGGCGGCUAUCUGGACUGACAUUGACGCUGAGAUACGAAGGCAUGGGUAGCAAACGGGAUUAGAUACCCCGGUAGUCCAUGCAGUAAACGAUGGAUGCUAGUCGUCGGACUUUUGUUCGGUGUCGUAGCUAACGCGUUAAGCAUCCCGCCUGGGGAGUACGGUCGCAAGAUUAAAACUC
rnacentral:rRNA from 1 species